rnacentral:rRNA from 1 species
GGGUGAGUAACACGUGGGUAAUCUACCUUCGGGUGCGGAAUAACCCAGGCAAACUUGGGCUAAUACCGCAUAAUGCAGCGGCACCUAAGUGGUGAUUAGUUGUUAAAGCGGGGGAUCGCAAGACCUCGCGCCUGAAGAGGAGCCUGCGGCAGAUUAGUUAGUUGGCAGGGUAAUGGCCUACCAAGACGAUGAUCGGUAUCCGGCCUGAGAGGGCGCACGGACACACUGGAACUGAAACACGGUCCAGACUCCUACGGGAGGCAGCAGUGGGGAAUUUUGCGCAAUGGGGGAAACCCUGACGCAGCAACGCCGCGUGGAGGAUGAAGUCCUUCGGGACGUAAACUCCUUUCGAUCGGGACGAUUAUGACGGUACCGGAAGAAGAAGCCCCGGCUAACUUCGUGCCAGCAGCCGCGGUAAUACGAGGGGGGCGAGCGUUGUUCGGAAUUAUUGGGCG